UACAUGAUAGACUACAGCCUAUUGCAUCAUUAAGAAAAAUAGCGCCAGAACCAAACACCAUGACCAUCCCAUUCCAGUCAUAGUACUCAUAGAUCUACUUCAAGAUUGUGUUGAUUUGUGAUUAACUCGACUCUAUUCUAACAACUUUGGAAUGUGUGCGUCAAGCAAAGACUCUCGGAACCAAAGAGUGAAAGAAUGAUGGCAUCACUAUGAUCACUUCUUGCUGGAUCUGUCCAAGAGUCAAUGAGUACAGGUGGACCAUGUUGGAAAAUAACUUUCAGUCAAGACUCAAGUUGAGACAAGAGCUCCAUUGAUGUUAUUGAUCAAACUGAACAUGUUCUAGAGAUACUGGAGAAAAGAUUUGAGUGCAGUACAUUAAAAGAAGCAGAGAUAAAUACAAUCAGGAUUGGGUAUGAAGCAAAUUUCCCAAUGGCAAAUAAUGUAUCACUGUUGGAAAUAGAAGUGAAACUGAAGUAUGAAGAUUCUCAUGAAAAUUUGAUCUAUCCAGUGAAAACAGCAUUAAGAGAACAAUAGUAUGGAUUAUAACUUGGCUGGACUGGACAUGGCACAAACAGAAAAUAAAUGUAUUGAAUUUUCAAUCCAAAUUAUGGAUAUUAGAUUAUUCAAGUGAGUUACCCAAGUCUGCUGUCAAAUAACUUAGAGAAAGUACUUGAACUUGGCACAUGUGAUGGCACAGAAAUCGUAAAAAAAGGAUGAUGGCUUCAACUCUGAAGGAACAUCCCAAACAUGUAAAACAUUUUACAAACAAACCUAAUCAAAGUUUAUAAAUGUUAAAAAAAAGUAAGAUGCACAAGCAAAUUUAUUUACAUACUACAGAUAUUAGAACUAAUGACUAAUGGAAAAAAAAAAACUACCUAUCUAGACUUAACAACAAAGAAAUAAGUAAAUAUAAUAUUUCAAACAUGUGCUGGAUCUUGUUAGUUUAAUAACAUACUAUGUAGGUGCAUUACAUAAAACAUGUAGUGGUUCUUGGUUGUUGAUUACCGGUACUGUGCUUUUUUCAAAUACACAUUAGUUUUGUCAUAUAUUAAUUAUAAAUAUUUAUGUUCACCAUUAAUUAUUUUGUUCAGCUAUAGCAACAUAAGGAAGGCAUGGUGGCUAAGUGGUUAAGCAUUUGGCUUCCAGACCCGAAUUAGAAUCUCAGUGAAAAUUGGGAUUUUUAAGACACCCUAACUCUGAUGGAUACUGGUACCUGAUUUUAGCUGGGGAAAGUAAAGACAGUUGUUUAGCUAGCUACAUGACACCCUGCUUGUUAACCAUUAGCCAAAGAAACUGAUGGCCUUAACAUCAUCUGCCCUAUAGAUGCUAAGUUUGAAAAGGGGAACUUUACUUUUAUUACAACAUAAGGUUAUAAGUUGACAGUUACAGAUGAUGUACCAUAUGAGCAUCAUUGUUGUUUACUGGCUUUUGAACAGUAGCUUGAAACAUUUGCUCUUACUUACAUAGAAUAUUCACUGUUUAUGAAUAUGAUAGUGCAGCUAGUUACUCUGCUCAAAAUUGAAAAAAAUAUUUUGUUGAAAUUAUAAACAUGAGCUACCGGUAUAUAUAAAUGUAUAGUUUUCAUUGUUGAGCACACACUUUUUCUUUGGUACUGGGUAACGUACAUGACCUAUAUUUUUUUGAGAUAUAAUCAUCUAAAAUUAGGCGAGGUCUUGAGAAUAUUUACCUCGAACAGACUCAGCUUUGGGUUUUUGUGCAUGUAGACCCUAUUGAUUAAAAAGCACCAUUCUCUAAUUAUAUUUUACUUGUUUAAAUUUAUAUAUUUAUGGUUAUUAAUUAUUCUUUGUAUUUAUUUUUUAAAUUUUUUUUUGUAAAGUAAGCACUGGUAUUUUUCUAAAAGUAUGUUUCACAUUUAUUUCAUUUUAAACAAAUUAAGUCAUUUACUUAAUGUUCAAUUAUGUUCUA